CGGAGUUGAAAAGAUAAGAUGAUAUAAUUCAUCAGAGUGAAUGACAUGAAAUUAGGCAUUAUACAUAAGAUGGUAUUUGAGUGCCCCCUUGUGGUAAAUAAAUUGCAGGAGAAUAUUGUUCCUUUGCGCUUACCGUAGGUUCACAGAGAUCGGUGUGACUGUGAAAGAGAGAGAGCUGAAUGUUAAUGCUGCACUUUCCUGCAUUACAUGUCUUUGUUUUAUCUCAGUUUUAUCUCAGACGGAGAGAAUAAAUCUGAUUGAGUGCAAUGGUGGAUGGCUUCCUUUAUUGUGUCCAAGACCUGAGUUAUUAUGGACGGGUGUGUUGCUGAUGGGACACCCGUUACACUGGUGCCGUGACUCUUUUGGAUUCUCCGAUCAGUUCAACACAGAUCGACCGUGAUUGCUGCGUGUGUCAAGUUCAUCAGCGGAUCAAGCCUUCGUUUCUUCAGACGUGAACAGUAUUUACACAUGCACACACUGUGAUUGGGACGAUACACUAUUUUUCACAACAUAUUUUAUUUUUCACACGUUUUUUUUUGAAAACACAACGCAUGGACAUAUGAAAAAUUUGUUUUUUUACUUUUAGACAAUUUUUGACUACAGUUAUAUUCAAAUAUCUUUGCAAGUAGUGCCAUAUUUAACGCUGUUGCUGUAAUUGUUUAUUUGUGGUCAGUUUUUUCUGUCUAACUGCAAUUUUGACGACGAGAUGGCUGAAAAACACAACUAUUAUAACGAUUUAGACUUAACAUAUAACAUGGGUACUCCUCGGGGUAGAGGUGCAUGGUUAAUUGACAAUUCAGAGGGUGGUGUUUUUAGUGAUGGUAUCAGCCAGAUGGUUGGACAGUCACAGUUCCAAGCUGCCCAUGGCAGGGGUUUAAAUCGAACUGUGAAUAGUACGCCAGUUGGGAGGGUUGCUUGUGAGGGUCCCUACACUUCAACACCUGGAGUGGAUGGAGUAGCCAUUG